GAUUUUGGACAAGGGGGGAAACCCUGAUCCCGCCAUCCCGCGUGUAUGAUGAAGACCUUCUGGAUGUAAAGUACUUUUGGCAGAGAAAAAAAUGUAUCACCACAUCGGGGAUACUGCUGUCGGUACCUGCAGAUUAAGUACUGGCUAACACGCUGCCAGCAGCCGAGGUAAUACGUAGGGUGCAAGCGUUAAUCGGAAUUACUGGGCGUAAAGCGUGUGUAGGCGGUUCGGAAAGAAAGAUGUGAAAUGCCAGGGCUCAACCUUGGAACUGCAUUUUUAACUGCCGAGCUAGAGUAUGUCAGAGGGGGGUAGAAUUCCACGUGUAGCAGUGAAAUGCGUAGAUAUGUGGAGGAAUACCGAUGGCGAAGGCAGCCCCCUGGGAUAAUACUGACGCUCAGACACGAAAGCGUGGGGAGCAAACAGG
rnacentral:rRNA from 1 species